UUUCCGUAGGUGAACCUGCGGAAGGAUCAUUACUGAAAUGAACUUUUCAAGUAUCUUGGCCGAUAAGAUUGUAUCCAGUCUAGUUUAGUGUACGCAUGUACACUAAACUAGACUAGACGCAGUCUAUCAGCCGACAUACGUCCAACCCCAAUGUGUGAAUCGAUGAUACUAUCCCAAAGGGCAAUGCGCGUAUGAAAAAGAUGAAUUUCUUUUUCAUAUACGUGUUCGCACUUUGUCUAUAUCAACGCCAAAAAACAAAAACCCAUAUCUUAACCUUUGCAGACUCAUAUCUCAAAAAGGAAAAUUGAUUAAUAUUUUUCAAUAUACAAAUUAAAGACAACUUUUAACAACGGAUCUCUAGGCUCUC
rnacentral:misc_RNA from 1 species